GGUGGGUGACCAGGAAUGUGCAGGGCCCAGCCUGCCCCACGGGGCCCGGGUCUGGGGCAGGCCUGACCAAGGGACCCUGCUCUCCCCCUGCAGAGCACCUGGUGAAUGGCCGGAUGGACUUUGCCUUCCCGGGCAGCACCAACUCCCUGCACAGGAUGACCACGACCAGUGCUGCUGCCUAUGGCACCCACCUGAGCCCACACGUGCCCCACCGCAUGCUAAGCACAUCCUCCACCCUCACACGGGACUACAACUCACUGACCCGCUCGGAACACUCACACUCGACCACACUGCCCAGGGACUACUCCACCCUCACCUCCGUCUCCUCCCACGACUUUCGCCUGACUGCUGGUGUGCCCGACACGCCCACCCGCCUGGUGUUCUCUGCCCUGGGGCCCACAUCUCUCAGAG
rnacentral:sRNA from 1 species